UGGGGAAUAUUGCACAAUGGAGGGAACUCUGAUGCAGCGACGCCGCGUGAACGAAGAAGGCUUUCGAGUCGUAAAGUUCUUUUAUAUGGGAAGAUAAUGACGGUACCAUAAGAAAAAGCCCCGGCUAACUACGUGCCAGCAGCCGCGGUAAUACGUAGGGGGCUAGCGUUGUCCGGAAUCACUGGGCGUAAAGGGUUCGCAGGCGGAAAUGCAAGUCAGGUGUAAAAGGCAGUAGCUUAACUACUGUAAGCAUUUGAAACUGCAUAUCUUGAGAAGAGUAGAGGUAAGUGGAAUUUUUAGUGUAGCGGUGAAAUGCGUAGAUAUUAAAAAGAAUACCGGUGGCGAAGGCGACUUACUGGGCUCAUUCUGGCGCUGAGGAACGAAAGCGUGGGUAGCAAACAGG
rnacentral:rRNA from 4 species